ensembl:lncRNA GGNBP1 gametogenetin binding protein 1 (pseudogene)
AGAUGCAGAGCAGGGGGCUGAUGGGAGAGGAAGGCUGCAGAGGGCCAGCAGACCUGUAGCCACUUUAUCCAGAUCCUGCAGUUGAAGGAAGAAUACCUGCAGAGAGCCACAGGGCCCCGUGAGGUCAGCCCUGAGCCCUCCACCAGGGAGAAGGAGUGUCUGCUUGAAGGCCUGGACCACCCCACUUGCUGCCAGCCUGUCAGUGACCACCACCCAUUCACAGGAGACUGCGUGUUGGCCUCUUCCAGGGUGGAGGCAACUCCUUGGAACCACUUCCACAGUUUGGACAAGGAGCUUCAAAACUCGGCCAUGGCCAAGGUUUGCCCAGCGAGGAGAAAAGUGAGGAAGAGAAAAUGAAGGAAGAGGACAGCUCAUUCAAGCUCUGUGUCCCAGGCAUUGUUGCCCUCCAGUCGCCACCGAACAAGGCUUUCAGAUCCACAGACACAGUGGGUAAGGGCUU